GCUCGUAUAGUGUAGGUGGUUAUCACCGUUCGUUGUGGAAUGCAUCCGAGCUGACCGCUGUUCGACUCAGCGUGCGAGCA